rnacentral:snoRNA from 1 species
UGGAGAAUAUGAUGAUCCUUUCCCCAGAUGAUCGACAAUGAACAUACUGAGCGCUAUUAUUUCUCUUUUGAGAACCAAGCCAGUAUUCUGAUUCUCCA